GCUUGUGGCUGGUGAUUUCUCACAUGUGCAACAGUAAUUUUGUUUCUUGGUAUCUCAAGCAAUGAUGGCCACAGCAUUUGACUCUGGAAGGAGCAGGUACACUGCAUUUUGAGGAAUUCACAACUUUACGGAAGAGGGAGCUGUUUUUUUUCAGCGGGUUUGCUGUAUGCUGUGCAUGUGCCUCCAGCAAGGCACAGACGGUUCCCACGGCAAGGAAGGAUCCCUCCCAGCCAUCCCUGACGGAGCGCACCACCAGCACAGAGCGCCAGGAGCUCGCUGCCUCUGUCGUCUGCAUGUGUGAGCCACCGUGCCUCUGGGAUGCCUCAUGGGAGAAGAGCAUCGAGGCACCCACCACAGACUCCUAGGCAGGCAAGGGUCAGGCUGCCAGCACCACUGAGGAGCAAGGGGCAGAGAGAGAUGCCUCUGGGCCAUAAAGUCUCCCACCUGCGCCAGGAGCUGUGAGGAAGAGGAGGAAGCUGAUGACUGCAGGAAGAUAUCAGAUGGCUGUUUUUUGUGGAUUGUGUCAAGGAUGGUUUCUGACCCCUGGCCAUCCACAAGCUAAGUUGAGACACUGGUGCCCGAGAGGGGCCAAGGGGAUGAGGUUGACAGUUGCUGAAAGGGGUCUUUGAAGUUAGCGUAGGGGCGAGGGCUUCUCCUGGGGCACUGUCUCCUUUGGGCAGGUAAAGGAUGUGGCUUACUGUUCAGCGUGAUGCUAGCACAUCCCGGGCAGGGCAGUUCCAGCCUGUGUCAGUUGUCAUGUUGUUCGUGUGGUCCAUGUUCUGCGUCUUAGACCUUUCUUGGGUCGCGAGGUCAUCUUUUAAGCUCCAGAAGCACAGCGUGGCGCCUCAGGCACCCUCCCUAGGGUCUCGAAUGCUUGCACCCCUGCGCAUAGCACCAUUCGGCUGCUGGUCUUCUUGCGUUCGAAGCUUAAAGCAUGCUUCGGUCUUGUGUCUUGGAAGCUUCAGGACAGCCCACUUCUGCGACUGGGGCUUCUUCCCUACAUCAUUACAUUCUUAGGUCUUGAAGCCAGUCUUCCUGCGCAUACAUCUUAGCAGUCUUGACAGUCCCUCCUUAUCACAGAUGAUGAUGAUGUAAACUUUGUUUCAGGGUCUUCCAUAGAGCCUCUUCACAUCACCACCGUGGUUUCCAGGUCUUCUUGCCUGAUGGUGACUUC